ACUAAGUCCAAGCCCAGUGCUCCCUAAAAUUGGAAUGAUACAGAGAAGAUUAGCAUGGCCCCUGCACAAGGAUGACACACAAAUUCAUGAAGCAUUCCAUAUUAAA
ensembl:snRNA U6 U6 spliceosomal RNA